rnacentral:rRNA from 1 species
ACGGAGGGUGCAAGCGUUAAUCGGAAUUACUGGGCGUAAAGCGUGCGUAGGCGGUUUAUUAAGUCAGAUGUGAAAUCCCCGGGCUCAACCUGGGAACUGCAUCUGAUACUGGUAGACUAGAGUGUGGGAGAGGAGAGUGGAAUUUCCGGUGUAGCGGUGAAAUGCAUAGAGAUCGGAAGGAACAUCAGUGGCGAAGGCGACUCUCUGGGCCAACACUGACGCUGAGGCACGAAAGCGUGGGUAGCAAACAGG